UACGUAGAGGGCUAGCGUUGUCCGGAAUCAUUGGGCGUAAAGCGCGUGUAGGCGGUUCGGUAAGUCCGCUGUGAAAGUCGGGGGGCUCAACCCUCGGAUGCCGGUGGAUACUGUCGAGCUUGAGUACGGAAGAGGCGAGUGGAAUUCCUGGUGUAGCGGUGAAAUGCGCAGAUAUCAGGAGGAACACCAAUGGCGAAGGCAGCUCGCUGGGACGUGACUGACGCUGAGACGCGAAAGCGUGGGGAGCAAACAGG
rnacentral:rRNA from 1 species